rnacentral:misc_RNA from 1 species
CCGAGUUUACAACUCCCAAACCCCUGUGAUCAUACCACUUGUUGCCUCGGCGGAUCAGCCCGCUCCCGGUAAAACGGGACGGCCCGCCAGAGGACCCCUAAACUCUGUUUCUAUAUGUAACUUCUGAGUAAAACCAUAAAUAAAUC